AGUUGCCUGAAACAUGCAAAACACCAUGCAAAACAUACUUUAGAAAUAGAGUAUGUAAAGUUUGAAGUACUGUACAAGGAAUUCAGAGUAAGAGUGGGCAUGCAAAUGAUAAAUUGUCAGAUGCUCACUGUUUACCCAUACCUCUAUCAGCAGCAUUAUGUCAUGAUUAUGGAGUUCUGUCGUAUUACUGUGUUAGCUAUAUGGCAGGGUUGGGGUCAAUUUAAUUUAUAUUCAGUCAAAUGCUUCCUAAAUUAACUGAAUCUAAAUGGAAUUGACCCCAACAACCCUUGUGGCACCUUCAUUUCUGGAUUGCUUCCAGACUAUAGAUUAUGUCCCAGGUGAUACUUGGAGCCUAGCCUCUUACAACCAGGCUGAUCUGACAAGCUCGGGAGAUCAGUCUGGUUGUAGGAGGCUACCUGCAGCUAUCCCUUGCUGAAAGUAGUACACAAAAGGGAAUAGGGUUAGGGUAGUGGACCAAAAGGGAAUAGGAUUAGGGUAGUGGACCAAAAGGGAAUAGGAUUAGGGUAGUGGACCAAAAGGGAAUAGGAUUAGGGUAGUGGACCAAAAGGGAAUAGGAUUAGGGUAGUGGACCAAAAGGGAAUAGGAUUAGGGUAGUGGACCAAAAGGGAAUAGGAUUAGGGUAGUGGACCAAAAGGGAAUAGGAUUAGGGUAGUGGACCAAAAGGGAAUAGGAUUAGGGUAGUGGACCAAAAGGGAAUAGGAUUAGGGUAGUGGACCAAAAGGGAAUAGGAUUAGGGUAGUGGACCAAAAGGGAAUAGGAUUAGGGUAGUGGACCAAAAGGGAAUAGGAUUAGGGUAGUGGACCAAAAGGGAAUAGGAUUAGGGUAGUGGGCCAAAAGGGAAUAGGGUUAGGGUAGUGGACCAAAAGGGAAUAGGGUUAGGGUAGUGAACCAAACGGGAAUAGGAUUAGGGUAGUGCCCAAAAGGGAAUAGGAUUAGGGUAGUGGGCCAAAAGGGAAUAGGAUUAGGGUAGUGGACCAAAAGGCAAUAGGAUUAGGGUAGUGGACCAAAAGGGUGCCAUUUGGGAGGUAGACAUCUUCAAAAUAGGGAAAAAAUGUAAAUGAGCUUACCAUUUGCAG